GCUAUGGUCCUACAACUACUACUUGCACACUUCAAAGAGAAAUUAGAUGGUCUUAUCCUUCAGACAGAUGAAUUCGCAACACCUUCAGAUGUCCAGCAAUCUGUACCUUUGCCAGAGAGUCCACGCCUUAUAAUUCUUGGUCAGUCUCUAAGCAACCAGCGGUGGAUGUUGAGCGUGGAAGGGCAGGUUGUGUGUGAAGGAGAGCAGCCCAACAUUGUAUCUGGUCU